UACGUAGGUGGCAAGCGUUGUCCGGAUUUAUUGGGUUUAAAGGGUGCGUAGGCGGUCCUAUAAGUCAGUGCUGAAAUAUCCCGGCUUAACCGGGAGGGUGGCAUUGAUACUGUAGGACUUGAGUAAAGUUGAGGUAGGCGGAAUUGACGGUGUAGCGGUGAAAUGCUUAGAUAUCGUCAAGAACACCGAUAGUGAGGACAGCUUACUAAACUUUAACUGACGCUGAGGCACGAAAGUGUGGGGAUCAAACAGG
rnacentral:rRNA from 1 species